UAUGAAGGGGGCUAGCGUUGCUCGGAAUCACUGGGCGUAAAGGGUGCGUAGGCGGGUCUUUAAGUCAGGGGUGAAAUCCUGGAGCUCAACUCCAGAACUGCCUUCGAUACUGAGAGUCUUGAGUCCGGGGAGAGGUGAGUGGAACUGCGAGUGUAGAGGUGAAAUUCGUAGAUAUUCGCAAGAACACCAGUGGCGAAGGCGGCUCACUGGCCCGGUACUGACGCUGAGGUGCGAAAGCGUGGGGAGCAAACAGG
rnacentral:rRNA from 1 species